CAGUCUUCAGUCCACCGAGCGCAGGCAGAGACGACAGUCGACUCGUUGUCAGUGUCAGUCGACUGAGGCGAGUCGCCGCAGCUCUAGAGUCGGAGUCGGAGCCGUCGGAUCGGAGGUGAGGUGAGCUUUGGUGACUUUGGUCCCGCAUGGAGGCUGGCGGCUAAUGGUCAUUAAGGACAACAGUUGUGAAAUUUAAUUUAUUUUAAUUUAAUACAUUCCCCAGAAAGUGCUGAACAUUAAUAUGUAAGGAAAAGCCGGCGCAAAUGAAAUAGGAAGUAAAUAGAAUUUAACUAACAUUAAUUGGUUUUUUACCAGGUAUUAUGUAAAGAAUUUUAAGAACGCCAUCUGGACGGAGGUUCUUGGUUAAGAACAGUCACGCCAUAUGUAGUGAAUACAUGUAGCGGUCAGCGGUUUCCCGCUGCCCACUACAAAUCGUUUAGUCAAGACUAAACCACUCCACCACCCUGUGCUGCACCCUGCAGCACUCCCAUGCAAUGUGAGCCCCGCCCAACCACGUUUAUUCUCGCGCCCCAAGCCAGCCAUGGAGCGCGCGUCUCAAUCGCUCACUCAACAAACCUUCGCCUGAACCCAAACUUAUGGGGUAAGAACCUUUCUGUGCAAUUUCCCUUGACGGCAAAAUGACCCGCCCAGUGAAUAAGUGCAUAAUCACCGGCCCCGCCAGUGAAUUUAACCCAAAACGCCGAACCUAAAACUGUUCGCCGGCCGAGCAAUGCCGGCGCCUCCACUCAAAUUACCAAUACUCAAAUAACAUGUUUGUAAUUCAUUGUACUGAUUGUAUUAUGUUUUUACAGUUCAAUUCGAAUUUCAACUUCCGAUUCUAAUACCAACACAUCCUGAAUGUACAACACCGCCUUACUACAAUAUACGAAUUAAAAGAAUCUUCUGGAGUUUAAUUUAAUUAUUAUUCUCCCUUUGUGUUGGCCAACCUGGCCCGUACAAAAUGGUGACCCCGAACAAGAUACCGAACGCGAUGCUUCAACGCAGAAUCGCCUUCAACAAAUCAAGCCAUCGAGUGACAGAACUAACAUACACAUUCGGCAGACCGCCGAACGACGAGCUUUCGCCAUGAUGCCGUCACAACACCGCCAACACCAAUGCUGUCAGCAGCCACGCCUCCUCACAUGCAAGCAACCGUGGCCACCGCCAAGGCCAAAUCUUUGGACAGCAGCGUAAAUAUCAUAAACGCAACACAAACACAGGGCAUAAACCUUUCAAAAUCAAUUUGUCCUGAAAACCUCUUAAACGAGCAUUACAUCAUUCCAGUGUCCUUCGAACCUACACUUACCAAGGAUCGAACCUCUCCUCAGAAGCCGUCAGACAACACUGCACCGCGCUUCCAAACUGUCGCUGCACCUACUCACAAUUUUGCUCCACACGAGUUUUAUGCAGAACUCUCGUCUGAAUCAGAGCAUACAUCAGCGACGCCGACACGAGCCUUCAAACUCGGACCGACACGGCAAGUAUAUGUGACCUGCAACCCACCGCGCAAACGAGACAUAGCUAUUUCUCGUCACCUUUGGGGACACACCCUGUCGGACACACCUGAAAGAGCUGAUCGGACCAACGACCUUCCAGCACGCCAAGUUCCCCCGGCUGGAAUCAACCAACAUACAGAGCUUCCAAGUUCUCCUGUUUUUGGACUCAGCAAAAGUCCAACGCCUCAAAUUCCUCGUUCACUCCAGCCUAUACAAGAGUGACCUUCUCGCCAAGAGACAACUUCUCGCCAAGAGACACCUUCUCGCCAAGAGACACCUUCUCGCCAAGAGACACCUCACCGAGAGAAACAUACUGAGAGUGACCUCCGGUCUCCAAGUGGGGGCCUAUGUAGCGGUCAGCGGUUUCCCGCUGCCCACUACAAAUCGUUUAGUCAAGACUAAACCACUCCACCACCCUGUGCUGCACCCUGCAGCACUCCCAUGCAAUGUGAGCCCCGCCCAACCACGUUUAUUCUCGCGCCCCAAGCCAGCCAUGGAGCGCGCGUCUCAAUCGCUCACUCAACAAACCUUCGCCUGAACCCAAACUUAUGGGGUAAGAACCUUUCUGUGCAAUUUCCCUUGACGGCAAAAUGACCCGCCCAGUGAAUAAGUGCAUAAUCACCGGCCCCGCCAGUGAAUUUAACCCAAAACGCCGAACCUAAAACUGUUCGCCGGCCGAGCAAUGCCGGCGCCUCCACUCAAAUUACCAAUACUCAAAUAACAUGUUUGUAAUUCAUUGUACUGAUUGUAUUAUGUUUUUACAGUUCAAUUCGAAUUUCAACUUCCGAUUCUAAUACCAACACAUCCUGAAUGUACAACACCGCCUUACUACAAUAUACGAAUUAAAAGAAUCUUCUGGAGUUUAAUUUAAUUAUUAUUCUCCCUUUGUGUUGGCCAACCUGGCCCGUACAUACAUGAACUAGAAUAAAAAUGGGACAAUAUUAUCCAAGGAUAUUAUCGAUUUGAAGGCACUUAAAAUGGGCCGAUAUUCGGACGCAGCUCCUCUGCUGCUAGCAGGGACGCGACGCCAACAAUCUACGCGUUUAUCUCUCGUUUUCUCUAAUGUGCAUGACCUUGGAAUCGCGGUCGUAAUGGCGUGCGCCAUUCACCUCUAUUUCCACAAUCUUAGCCAGGGGGCUGCAAGAAAGGAUUAGGGCUUUGGGAUGGGUUCAGAUUGGGAAAGACGUUUUUUUUCUUCUCAAAAUAAGCAAUUUUUUAAUAAAAAAUUACUACUUUUCGCUACUUUUUGCAUUCAUAUUUCUGUAAAAAAAAUUAUAAUGUCAUCUAUCACAAUUUUAAUCAAGGGGCUGCAAGAAAGAAUCAGGGCUUUGGGAUGGGUUCAGAUUGGGAGAGACGAAUUUAAAUGAAAUUUGCUUUUUUUUAAAUAAAUUUUCAUUACUUUUACUUUACAAUAACAAAUAAAAAACUUCUGUAUAAUAUGCAUUUGUGGAAAUCAAGUUAUUUACAUAAGUUUAAUUUAUUGACAAUUUGCACACAAGUCAAUUUUGCACGCAAGGGGAUUUGGGGCACCCCACAAACCAGCAACUCGGAGGUGGGCAACCUCCAAGAUUAAUUUUUGCAGGGAGGUGCGAACGAAGCUCGCAAACGCACAUGGGACUUGGGGCACCCCACGAACCGGCCACUCGGAGUGAUCACUUGAAGGUUGGGUCCGUAUGUUUUUGUCAACAAAAUGCUCAAAAAGGCCAUUUGAGUACUUUUUCUUUUUAAAAAUUACAUACUUGGCCUUGAGAGAAUAUAGAAACGUGCCACUUUUAUCUCUUAAUAAACUUGGUAAAUCUAAAUUUUUAAAAACUUAAAAAUUGCUAACUGAAACCAAUUUUUUGCUCCUUUAUUAUCAUGAAGUCAGAAAUGUUUCCUUUCAUGCUUCAUUUUCUUUAUGAAAUUUCAGUUUUCUUGCACAGGAAUAUUUAAAUUAUUAUAGUUCAUUUAACUUUUUUAUAAUAUGUUAAUUUUUAUUUUACAUUAAAGAAAAUUCAAUUAUAAUAUAGGUCGACUUUAUCAUACAAAAUUUUCAUGAUUUUUGAAAAUUUAUUUUAAAAAUUUCAGCUCUUUUUCGACUUAAAAACCGCGCGCGCGCCUCUUAUCAGAGUGUUUUAUGAAACUAAUUCAAACUAGCAUGUUCCUGUACUUUCUGGGCGAAACACACAAAAGAGACAGAUUGAUGGCGUGAUGAUUGCAUCACUAAAUCCCUUUCGGCCCUUUCGAGUUUUAGGAAAGGUCAGUUUAGUUCCUUGUUGAACCUCGUGUUGUGCGGUUGUGUUUUGAGUUCACUCCUCUCUUUUUUUUCUCAUUUUUUACUUGUAUUUGUUAAGUGGAUUUAACGCCUUCUUCGUUUCAUUUGGGGAAUUGUUCGCAGUAAGUCAAUAUUUCAUAGCUCGCUAGCACGGUUCUGGCCUAAAUAGCCAAAAUUUUGGUUGGAAAAUGCAUGAAUUUGGCAAAAUUACGCGUGUUUCUUCGGAAACACGAUGUGGUUUCUCAGAUGCGAACCUUCAAUUGUGAGUGUAUCCUCUCUGUUAAAAGCUUUCAUAGAGCGGUUUAAAGUCCGUUUUUACGGCUUUUGCCCUCUAUUUUUGGAAAUUUCCUAUACUUUUUGGGACCCUAAAUUCGAUAUUUUAUCGAAAUCGUCCCAUUUCUGGUCUUGUACUUUUCCCCACUAUCCGCCAGGCGUCGCACAUAAUGGCAAAUAUCAAUGAGAGUAUGAUGUUACUUGAUUUGCCACUUUUUGCACUUUCUGAGCGUUUGCGCGCUCUAAGUCCUUUUGUAAACUCAUCGUAAUUUUUUCCCUUUUUCCCUUUUUACCUUUUUCAAUAAGUAAAAAAAUUUUUACACAACUGUUGUCCUAGCUACCCUAGUGUCCGCCAAAAUUUGCACCCUGUACCGAACCGUAUCGCAAUUUUAAGAACCGUCCAGAGAGCUGUGUUCCUCGCAGACUAAAAAUAGAUCUAAGAAGUGUCCGUCGCCCGGCGUGUGACGUCCGUCAUGGCUGCAAAGAAAUAUCUCAUUAAAUGUGAAGCUGAACCUUAUUGUGAGGUCACAGCUUUUGAGAUUGCUUACCCUGCGUACACCAAUCACAGAUUGCUGAGCGUGGGAAUGCACGUCGGCGUCGUUUCACUGGUGCCCGGCCAGAAUCCCGUCCCGUCAGGGCCUUUAUCAUCGCCGAGGUGAACACCACGCAACAGUCGUUGCAACAGUCUGGCAGAAUGACCGAAUUGCUACAGCCAGCCGAUAAAAUUAUUGAGAGUAUUGCUGGAAGCAGAACGGUUAUAGUCACUCCGAGACGAAAGGGAAAUAUCUGGAGGAGCAAGAGACGCUUCUCGACCAAUUCAAAACCAACCAAAAACAGCUCGAUGCUGAAAAAUUGUUGAAGGAAGCAGAUGAGUUGGAGGAAAAGCAACUGCAAUGCAGAAACAAAGGGAUGAGUGGCGUUUUAAGUGGCAGCUACUUUCACCCCUGGCAAAUUUUAUCAAGCAUGAGACGAUGAGGACAGCAAUAUCAUCCUUCAGCAGAAACUAAUAAUCGAUGCAAUCAAACGAGAGCAGCAGACCCAUAAACUGAAAGUCGAGUCUGCAGAACUCUUUGCGUUUGCAAAACAGCUGUCGCAAGCACCUGAAGACACGUCCCCGGCUCCUUAUUGGUAUGAUGAUUCUGAGGUUGGAACACAAACACUCGGUCUACUGGAAGAAGACAGCAUAAAGAGUCAGCAGUCCGAGUUAACCUAGAUAAUCCGAUACCGCACAAGGAAGAUACUCUUUCCGAGUCCAUUCCCAAGGAUUGUCCAGGCGAGCAGAGAGAUGGCGCUGGACGACUAAGUUAGGCACAGAGAGCGUCCGGACAGGCUACAACUUCUACGGCAGCUGGAUCAGGAAUGAUCAAUCUGACUCAAGCCGAGAGGAACUCCGAAAGCCGCCGCUUUCAGUCAUUAGGAACAAUGGUUCUGAACUCAAAUACUGCCGAAAAAGAGUCGGAUGAAGAAAAAAACAUGCCAGAAAUUACCCUUGACCGUCGGUCAAAUGCUACCCACAGCACUAAACCAAAGUGUUUGUUUCGGGAAAUUGAGUUACCCUCGAAAGAAAAGAAGGCUAAGUUGGCCAACGGGAUUGUUGGAAACCUUCUACGAGUCAAACAUGUCUUUGACACUGCUGAAACUGAAGAAGCUGCGCCCUAUGGACUCACCGUAGCGCUUAUUGGCAGAGCCAAACUGGCAGUGUCGACUCUUAUAGUUCGUGGUGAUUCUCAAAGCCAAGAGCUUAAUGCUCGAGUUGUUUUAUGCAUUUGCCUUCCAAUUUCUAAGUUGGGUGAAGCUGUUUAAGGGACCUGAGGUCGAGCUCAACCAUAAAUUUGUCCUCAACUUCAUUUCCAAAAUAUGCAAAGAAAAGAAGAAACGUAGUUUGUCGAGGUCGAGUUCACAUUGGAAACGAUCGACCCUGUGUCCAAGAUGCGUCGCUCGACGUUUCCCUGGUCAAAAGGGUCUGCGUGUGCUCGGGAAGCGCCUACCAAGCUUCUUUAAGGCAUUUAUCGAUGUUCGAAACAGUUUGGGCACCUACAGCAGCGCAGAAAAUUCCUAUAUGAAUCUGCUGAUAAGUCUACACCAGACGACUUCCGAACUUAACCUCAAGUCCGAAGACUUUUUUCUGUAGCUCUUCAUUUUUCAUGUGUGCCUGCUCCACGCGGACUUGGGAUUGUUGAAAAAGGUCGGAGCCCUUCAGGCCCAGGCCCGCUCACCCGUUUGGCCAGUCCGGCCCUGUUUGUGUCAAAUUCUGAUCCAAAGAUUUGUAUUUAUUUCAUUCCUGCUUUUAAAUUUGCCAGGCGUUAUAUUUCUUGAUGAACUGUCUGUAAAAUUACUUUUUUUUUGAGUUUGCUGGCUGCUACUGAGUUAUAGGCCGAAAAGCAUUAGUUGGCCAAUUAUUAAUAUUGUCAAAAUAAAUUAUACAAUUUUAUAUUUAAA